rnacentral:tRNA from 1 species
AUUUUCUUAGUAUAGUUAGUACUAGUGACUUCCAAUCACUAUGUCCUGGUUAAACCCCGGGAGAAAAUA